CGUAUUUAAAUAAUCUAACCCAACUUUUCAUUUGCAUCCUCUGGUUUCCAACAUUGAGCGUCUUCUCCAAGUUUCCUCUCUCAUUCUUCUCCAAGCUUCCUCUCUCAAUCUCAAACGUCUGGUAAGUUGUUCCAUCUUAUUACUAAAUCUAGAAAUGAAUCAAGUUUUUGAUAUUAAAGAAAUAAAUUGACGCUCCCACCGUUGGUUCUCUAGGGUUUCCAUUCAAGCAAUUCGUUCGUUUGUGCCUCAAAGAACAAAAAAGAUCCUCCCUUUCUCAUCCGAUUGUCAAGAUUCAUCACUAAAAACCCUAAUUUCCUUCUUCCAAUCAGUUUCAUAAGCUUGCUCUUUGCGAUCGAUGAUAAAAAUGACCCGACUAAGAACAAGGAGGAGAGCCAUAUCAGUUUACUUCAAGUUGGUUCAAGAUUAUUCAAGAGUUCAAAAUUCCUAAGUUAAUGUGUCAAUGGUGGCUAAUCAAAGGAUGAUAGAAGUGCGCUAUAUUAGAAUUCAAGACGGUAAACUAACAGGUAAGAAUUUGGAGAAAGUAUGAUGGAACUCUCAUCUCUGGAGGAGUGAGGAUUGGUAUCAAAAGGUGGCUAUUUGGAGGUUGAUGUUCAGAUAUAUGGAGUUGGUCUGUGGCAUACAUGGUUUUAUCGUGAUUUGACCAUUGCUGGAAGACUGAUUAUCAAAGAAGGAAAAAGUGACGGGUUGUUAAUGAUGGAUUUAAGGUGAAUACACAAACUCAUCUGCUUCCUGUGCUGGAAACAUAUGUUAAGGCUGAGCUCAAUAAAGUGGUUGCUGAUAAUGGCCCAGAUGGGAAGCCUAUUGAAAGCCCAAAUAGCCAGAAGCAUCAUUCUCUUCUUUUACAGUGGGGAGUGGCUACAAUGUCAGGGUGAUGAUCCGGCGUUAUCUGCUGAUGACUUAGUGGGUUAGGCUGCUGGUGUUUUUGGCUAUAUUAGGUGUAUGUAUGUGCUUAUGGGCUGUUUGGCUAUGUUUUAUUUCAAACACGCUGAAUAAAGCAUUUAACUGCAAAUGGAGAAUGAGACAUGUCUAAAUUUACUAAACUGUGUUGGCAUGGUUUUAGUAAUGACAAAACGUAUUUGCGGGUUAGAUUCUAUAUACCAUUUGAGGCAUUAAACCUUUUCAUUUUACAAAAGUAAGGUUCGUAACAAGCGACAGUGAGCAAAAUAUUGAAUAUUUGAAAUAAACAAAUCGAGAUGAGGUCUCAAGAGUUCAGCUAUGAUUUUUUGGCUGUAGUGGGGAGUGGCUACAAUGUCAGGUGAUGAUCCGACAUUAUUUGCUGAUGACUUAGCUGGUUAGGUUGUUGGUGUUUUUGGCUAUAUUGGGUAAAGUUUUCUUUUUCUUACUUUUUUUUUAUAAAUGGAAGAAGUUUAAUAGAUAUGUAAAUUGUUGUUCCAUACCAGGUGUAGGUAUGUGCUUAUGGGCCGUUUGGCUAUGUUUUAUUUCAAACACACUGAAUAAAGCAACUGGAAAUAAAAAAUGAGACAUGUCUAAAUUUACUAAACUGCGUUUGGCAUGGUUUUAGUAAUGACAAAACGUAUUUGCGGGUUAGAUUGGAUAUACCAUUUGAGGCAUUAAACCUUUUCAUUUUUUUAAAAAUGUAAGGUUCGUAACAAGUGGCGGUGAGCAAAAUAUUGAAUCUUUGAAAAAUCUAUAUAUAGGUCUUAAUAGUUCAGCUAUGAUUUUCUUAUAACUGUCUUUAUGGUUCGGUCAAAGAAUCCACAAUAGAAGAGUUAAAAAUGACAGUCAUGUCACCUAUGCCUGGGAUUUGGCCCUUGCAUAUUAAUAACCCGUCACCCGAGAUUUACAAGGUAUUUGAUGCAUUUGGAUAUGAUUUCUUUCAAACUUAUUUCAGCAUAUGGGCUAUUUCAAAAGUAUAACACAUUGUCACUUUAUUGUGUUUAUGUUAACACACAAGUUUUGUACUUUGUACACUAAUGCUUUCGAGUGAUUGUACGUUCCUCUUCUUAUUGGUUGUGAUGUUAAAACUAUCAUAUCAUACUCCCAGUAUCCCCUCGAGUUAAGGAGUUCAUUUCUCUAAACCAAGGGGCGUUGCUUUGAUUAAAAAGUCAAUAUAAUCAGGUUUGAAACUUAAAGGCCAUAUUUCUAUUUUGGUUCUACUCCUUGCUACUUUCUAGAAUGAACUCCUAUUCAUGCAAAGUUUUAGGCAAAUUUGUCAUCAGUUUUGAGACUUAAAACUAAAAAAAUUAGUAAAAGUAAAUUGGGUGAAAUGAGUUGAAAGUCAAACGGAAUGUGUCAAUAAUGCUUGCCUAUAACCUCUUAAACUUCUUUUUUUUUUUAAAAGAGAUGUGAUUAUUUCUUUAUAAUAUGUUUUUUAAUCAUACUUAACAUUUUAGUUGUUUAUAAAAUUGUAUAAGAAUGGGUAAAAAGCUUAUGGGCCAACCCAAACUGACCUGAUCUAUGACAAGCCUUACGAAAUUUACCCGUUUUAAUCCGUUAUGCAACCUGCCAAUUUGAGCUUGGCUAUCCGCUGCAAAUCACAUAAGUUUUGAAAUUAGAACUAUCAUAUUGAAGUUAUGCAAGGGUGUUUUAGGCAUCUUAAAAAAUUGAAGUGCAACGGCCAGGUAGAUCACAUCUUCCUUACAUAGUUGUCAAUAGUGGGCGUAGCGAUCGCUAUAGCGUGCUACAUAGCGUAUAAGUCUAGGCUCGCUAUUAGGGGUGUAGCGAUAGAUAGCGAUAACGACAAUUUAAUUCUUUUUGGAAAUUUUAAGCUACUUGUGAGCAAAGAAAGAAAUGAAUUCCCGUAGGUAUAAAACUAUGAUUAUAGUUCAGCAAGACUUUAGAAGUUACAAUAUGGAUGGUGAUCGGUUUAGGUUGUUUUUUAAACUUAGAAACUGACAUGAUGGCAAUUUUUUGUAAUGUUUAUGUGGGUUUAGGUUGUUUUAUAAACUUAGAAAUUGACACGACGGCCAAUUUUGUAAUGUUUAUGUGGGUUUAACAUAUAUUAUGGAUAGCGAUUAAAACACAUAUAGUUAAUUCAUUUUAUGUAUAUUUUUGUAACUUUUCAUUUUAUUUUAUAGUAUGCGUUGCGGUGUGGUUUACUUUCAGCUUCCGUGUGUAUUAAGGGGUAAGAUUCGUUAUCAUUGGUUUUGUGGUCCAAUGAUUGUAUCUCUUUGAGUUUCCAUUGGCAACUCGGCUGGCGAAUUGUUGUACCAUUUUUUAGUAUUAAUGGAAGUUAGAUUGACCAGUGACUAUCUUAUGCUAUUUUAUAUGUAUGCAUUCAGAUCAUCAUGUUUGGACAGGGUGUGUUUUGAUGCAGGUGCAUUUGGUGAUUGAUUGGGUUAUGAGUGCAUGAUUCCAAACAGAGUUUAAUAUUUUAUAUGUAUAUGUAUUUUUAAUUGUAUUUCUACUUUGUCAUUAAAUUAUGUAAUAUGUCAAUUUGUUUAUAUAUAUUUUAUUUAUAUAUUUA